GACGAACGCUGGCGGCGUGCCUAAUACAUGCAAGUAGGACGCAGUUGCGAACGGGUGAGUAACGCGUACGUAACUACCUAUUAUAGGGGGAUAACUCUUGGAAACGAUAGCUAAUACCGCAUACUAGUAGAUGUACCUGCGUUGUAUUAGGUUGGAGGUAGGGUAAUGGCCUACCUAGGCAACGAUACAUAGCCGCACUGAGAGGAUGCUCGGCCACACUGGGACUGAGACACGGCCCAGACUCCGACUGGAGCCAGCAGUAGGGAGUCUGCGGGAAUGGGGGGAACCCUGACCGAGAAACGCCGCGUUAGGGAAGAAGGUUUUCGGAUCGGAAAGCACUGUUGUUGAGGAAGCGGUACUUAACCAGAAAGGGACGGCUAACUACGUGCCAGCAGCCGCGGUAAUUC
rnacentral:rRNA from 1 species